ensembl:lncRNA
CAAAUCUACAGAUCACUUGCAUAGUUGAGACCUUAAGAGUAGCAAUGUGAGAAAAGUGAGAUCUGCUUGGCAACGUUGCGUAGUUUGCAAUGUGUUGCUUUUGGUAGAAAAGAAUCAAAAUUAAUCCACCCAUACAUUUUUGAACACACAGUUCAAUUUUGAAUUUUGAAUUUCCUUCCCUUGCAGCAAGUCAGCUGUGGUGUGCUGAGAGCCAGAGCUGUCAGUGGCUGCUUGCUGGGGAAGCCCCUCUCGGCUGCUCCUGCUGUAGCACACAACUGAUUGCCAGCAGUGAGAAGUGGAUAGCAGAGUCAGUGCCACCAAGAGCAGCGGGGAAACGUUCCUUUCUGAGGGUGGCCAUGUUUUAAAAGGCUGAACGCCCCCCGUGUGAGACCAAAGCAUCCUGCAGUACGUGCGUGGCAAGUGGGUCCUGACAUAUGCCGGCACCUGCUGCUCUCUUCUUCCUUCUGGUGUGCUACAGAGACCCUACUUUUAUAAAUCAGUUUAUCAUGAAUAACCUUAGCAUAGUUUGAAGGCUUGCUGUAGGUACAAACUGCAAAAUGCACAUCCACCUCUGGGUUAAUCGCCCUGACUGCCGUCCAAAUACCAAACCCACCACUUCCCAAAUGCUACAUACUGUCUUCCCCUGCAGUUAUGUAAGAGAGCAGUGACCUUUCACAAGAAGAGCUUGGCGUUUACAAGACUCAGGUGCCAAGCUCAGGGAUUUCUUCCCUCAUUAAGGGCAAGUGUGUCUGCUUGCCUGGCUCUAUGGCACGCAGCUGUGCUGUCUGCCUACAAGGACCUGGCCUGGAGGUGCCCUGCUGCCGAGCAGACCUGUCUUUUGGAAGGUGUGGAGGUUGGCAGCAUGUUGGUUUCCUUUGCAAGAGAUGGGUGAGCUAUAAUUUCAGGGUGUGUUUCAGGGAGUCUUCAGUGUUAGACAUGGCGUAUCCUGCUGGCUGCGAGGCCGAGGGAGGGUGCCAGGGCCCUGAGGUGGGGUGCGAGGCAUUUAACCCGCUGUACUGGUUGUUUUUUGCUUCCACUCUGAACUGCUGGAAGUUUCCUUAUGGUCCAGGUCCUAUAUUGCUGGUACACCUGCCAGCGACAGCCUCACCUGUAACUUGUUUUCCUUCUGGAACAGCAGGUCCUAAAGCUGUGGCUGCUGCAAGUCACGGAUACAGCCUGUAG